rfam:Dipodomys ordii contig_16515, whole genome shotgun sequence.
ACCCUGGCUUUUCUAAAAGCCAAGCAAAUUUAAAGAAAUUUAAAAU